AUCUGAAGGAUUUAACAAAGGACCCUAACAUUCCACUGAACUACAGAGGGGACAGAAACAUGAAAACAAUCUUGGAAAAGAAUGAAGUUGUAUAUGUUGCACUAUCUGACUUCAAAAUUUACUACAAAACUGGGGUAAUCAAAUGCUGGGAUGCUUUCUAUAAAACAGAGAUACAGUUGCUGUGAUAAGUCAGCAAAAGUGACUUCCAAGUUAGAGUCCAGCAACAAGGGAAGCCAGAGCAGGAGUGGAAACAGGAAACUGGAGGCAGAAACUGAAAGAGAAGCAUGGAGGAAUACAGAAUGUAUAGUCCACGUACAAGCCAACAACACCUACUCGGGAGGGGCGCUGCCCACAGUGGUCUAAAUCCCACCCCAUGAAUUAACAAUGAAUAAAAUAUCCCCCUAAAUAUGUUCAAAA